UCUAACCUGGCGGCUGCCUAACCAUGCAAGUCCCUCGGAGAGUGGGGCAACUCACUCUCAGUGGCAAACGGGUGAGUAACGCGUGAAUAACCUGCCUUUGAGAAGGGGAUAACUGUCCGAAAGGAUAGCUAAUACCCUAUAUUGCCUUUUGUCACUAAGGCAAAAGGUGAAAGCGAGGCUGUCAAAGGCUUCGGCUCAAAGAGGGGUUCGCGUCCUAUCAGGUAGCUGGUGGGGUAAUGGCCUACCAAGCCAAUGACGGGUAGCUGGUCUUAGAGGAUAAUCAGCCACAGUGGGACUGAAGACACGGCCCGCACCCCUACGGGGGGCAGCAGUGGGGAAUCGUGGGCAAUGGGCGCAAGCCUGACCCCGCAAUGCCGCGUGAGGGAAGAAGCCCUUCGGGGUGUAAACCUCUGUCAGAUGGGAAGAUAGGACUAGGGGCUAAUACCUCCUGGUCUUGACGGUACCAUCAGAGGAAGGGACGGCUAACUACGUGCCAGCAGCCGCGGUAAU
rnacentral:rRNA from 1 species